rnacentral:lncRNA from 1 species
GAAAUAUUCAUAUGGCUCGUGCGUUUUCCGGGAAGGGAAGUUAUUCUCGCAAGAGAGAAAUAGAUGGCGCCCGCAAGUGUUUCGAUGUGGCAAAAGAACUUUCACGUCGUGCCGGCGGCGUUCCUCCUUUCCCGAUCCACUCUUCUUCGAUAAUUUCGUUUUUGCAGACCUUCGGUAUGCUCUCUAUCUCCUUUCCCCGUUAAUCUUGUUUUUCUAUCAGCUGUUCCUACCACCCUCCUUUCUCCGUCAAUAAUCCCACAGUUCGCAGGUUGAUUUUUUCUUUACAUGUGAUAAUUUGAUAAUCAUAUAUUUUCUUUUAUAGGUAGAGAUAUAAACUUUUAUAAAAUUUUUUCAACAUUAUUGGAUUCUUUCAUUUUUAUUAUGUUAUUUUGAUUUGAUUUUCACUCAUUUGGCGCGUUUAUUUUGUUAUUUUUGAAAUCGUGGCUAUAAAUCUUCUUGAAACAGAUUUACAGGAUUGUGUUUUUGGGUUUAGAGUUUUUGUAAUUUUGUCUAUUUUACUUGAUUGGAUGUAUGGGUUUAAUGGUAAUAUACUAUUAUUUUCUUAAAAUUUGAAAUUGUUUGUUUUAGUAAUAUAAUAUUAUAUUAAAAAUGUCAGAUUAAAAUUAAGCGUCAGGCAUGGGUGGCGACGCUCGAUCUUUGAGUUCGGUGUUCUAAGAUCUGUAAGAAAUAAUUAAAUAGAUAAAUAAUGGUAACAAUUAAAUGAAAUAAAAUAGUUUUGUACGAAUGCGUAUUAAAAUUAUUAGUGAAUAAAUAAAUUAAGUCUUAGUUUUUAACAAUUAAAGAUAUUGUUGAUAGAAUUUAUAUUUUCAUAGAAAGAAAAUAAUUUAUUUUAUGGUUUUGGUGUGUUAAGUGUGUUAUUUUAAUUGUAUAGAAUUGAUUAUUAUUGUAAUAUACUUGAAAUAUGUAUUAUAUAGUUGUAAUGGCAUAUAUAAUCCUAACGAAAGGAAUUAGCUUGGUGGGUCCCAACAUUUAAUUUUAAACCAAUGGGAAGGUUUACAUUUACAUGAGUUUAGUUUAGCUUGGUUGAGUGAAAUUGGCAGAGGGUUUAAUUCUCUUUUAAUCUUGCCUUUAAGUGUACUUUCAUUGAAUGUGUCUUAUUUAUGUGUUUUAUUUAUUUAUUUUAUUUUUUAUGCAUUUUCGGUGGGACCCACGUUUGUAGUGUUGGAGAGGAGAGCGAUACGUUGACAACUUUUUUUAACAAUGUUUUGACAACGCCAUGUGUUAGCGUUGUAUUGGCCUAUAUAAUUUUAUUUUUUUAAUUAAAAAACUUAUUUGAAAAGGGAUACUUUAUGUUAUUCCAAAAACACCCUCGCUCGUUUUCAGCCAUUUUCUACUUCGAAGCACUCUCUUUUCAUUUUAGGUUUUCGUUUUGCUUUGAAGCUCUCUCUCCAUUUUAGCUUUUCAUUUUCCUUUGAAGCUCUUUUCUCUGUCUAUUUUUUGAAGGGGUAGAAGUGGUGAGCAAUCUCUGUGGACGUUGAGGGAUUUCCAUCGUCGUUGGGUUUAUAUCUUGAGUUCGACAUUAUGCUUCUCACAUCGUUGGGUGUGUAUUUCGUCGAAGUUGUUACCUUUUUUAUGUCAUGGGUUCGUGUGGUGACAUGGGUUUUUCGAACAAGAUAUGAACAUUAUCCUUAUUCCGUAUUCGUAUUUAGGUUAUGGAUUAUGGCAUAUGUCGGUCAUCAUUUUGCUUUUGGGGUUGGGAUUUUUGGUUAUUUGGUUUUGGGGGUUUGGAUUUAUGUUCGUGUUUUUGUAUGAAAAAAUGUUGGUUAAAAGCUCUUUUUGGUCCCAAUUUUGGUUGGAAAAAUUCGUUUUGGUCCCUGUGUUGAUUUUGUGUUCAAUUUGGUCCCAAAGAACGAAUUUAAUGUUCAAUUUAGUCCUUUUCAGUAACUCCAUUAAAAUUCUUAACGACAACGUGUCCAGAUGUGCAACUGUUGAGUAAGGUGUCAUUUUAUUGGGUGACAUGGAGUGGUCAGUGGCAUUUUAAGUUAUUUUGAUUUUUUUUAUAUCUUUUUCACUGGUUCAUAGUUUUCUUCUUCACUGGAUCUUAACAGCCUCCUCGUUCUUCUUCUUCUUCCCCUACGACCUCCACCACCACUGGGCAAAACCUUACCCACCUUGCCAUCAGCCACCUAGCAUCGCCGUUGUCCUUCAUAAAGCACCACCAAAAUUGUGCCCUCACCAUCUUCAUCGCGAUAGAGAAUCUUCCAUGGCCAUCUUCAAGAAGCUCCGCCGUUAGCCUUGCAACCUCCAUCUACAUCGCAUCUUGAUCAGAGAAAUCUGCAUAGUGGCACAAGCAGAACCUCCAUCAUCUCGCACAUUCAUCUUCAUCACCUGCAAACCCAUAAAUCAGAAAAUCCCAAUUUCCAUGGAACCCUAAAUUGAGCCGUUGUUCAACCUUGCGAGUUCGUCUCCUCGCAAUGGUACCUGCAACAAAACCCAGAAAUCGUGAAGAUGUGAGGUUGGACUUUCGACUUAGCCCAUUGAUAAAGAUGGUUUUUUUUAGGGUUUCCCGUUUCUUCAUCUCUCUUAAUCUUUACACUUUUGUGGGUUUAUCAUUUUCUUGGGAAGGUGGAAUUGUUGAAAGCUUGAGAUAGAUGCUUCUGUCUCAGGUUGCCAUCCUUCAAAAUUGUAGUAAAACUGGGAAGAAGAUUGGGAAAUAAAAACCCUAAUUUAGAAUCCACCCUCUUCAAUUUAUUCCCAAAAUAAAAACCCUGAUUAAGAAAUUCAAUUUAAAAAAUUCUAACAGCUAAAAAGGACUCCCAGUCAGCAAAGAAAUGACACAUCACUCAGCAGUUGCACAUCUGGACACGUUGUCGUUAAAAAUUUUAACGGAGUUACUGAAAAGGAUCAAAUUGAACAUUAAAUUCGUUCUUUGGGACCAAAUUGAACACAAAAUCAACACAGGGACCAAAACGAAUUUUUCCAACCAAAAUUGGGACCAAAAAGAGCUUUUAACCAAAACUGUUUAUUUUUUAUUUUUUUGCAGUUAUUGUUGGCAAGUUGAGGUGCGGUGAAGGUCGUCCCAUCAUGGAGCAUGUGAUUGGUGGCAAGUUUAAAUUGGGAUUAGGGAGCUCUAUUUAGGUAUGUUUAUGUUUCUUUUCCCUUUUUAUUUUGUUUUGUUUUGAUGUUUCAUACUGUACCGUUUUACGUUUCUAUUGCUGUAUAAAAUGUUGAAGUUAUAUUUUGUCUCAUGUUAGGUGUUAAUAUAAAAACUGGAGAGGAGGUGGUUGUUAAGCUGGUAUGUUAAUUUUCUUGAAGCUUUUGAACCUUUCUCUGUCUGGAUGGCACACACAUUUUUUUAUAUUGAAAUCUGUCAUGGAUUUCUGGAGGGAGACUAUAAUGUCAUGAAUUAUUUUUCUUGCACCAGGGAGGUAUAUGCAUCAUUUGGAGGACUUUAGUUGAUGUUGAGAGGACAUGCAUCUCAUUGUGUUAAGUUUUCACUUGAUCAGAACUUACUAAUAAGGAAGAUUGGAAGUUGAAACUAAUGGUGGUGUGGCCUGAAAAAGAAAGGCACCCUAACAUUAUGUUUUUACUGUAUUUUUUCUAUAUUGGAUAAAGUAAUUUGCAUGAACUAUUUUUAUGAUGUUUCUCCAAAGUUAGUUUUUUUGCAUAAGUAAAUGUGUGUUUGAGAUCAUUGCAAAAUUAUAUUAUUUCAACGAUUGAUUAUUCAUAUAAUCGAUCGUAAUCAGAGUAAGUUUUUAUUUGUGUAAACAUUUGAUUAAUAUAGAAUUUUGUGCAUAUAAUUAUAUGAAUGAACUUUCACAAGUUUUACAUGGGUGGAUCGAAAUAAUCACAUUUCUAAAAUUUCACAAUACACAAAUGAAUAUUGAUUUUGAGUUUUUAAAAUAUAUUUAAAAAGUUAAUAUACUAAUAUUAAUAUAUUUUAAAAAUUCAAUAGAAGGAUAAUAGA